CUUCGCCAAGCCAUCGCUCAAUGCCUUCAUGGCUCUCGGCCCGAAGGUCUGGCGCAGGACCCGCGCGCGGAUCAGCGAACUGCUGCGGCAUGACAAUCCGGAACUGCGCGACAAUGCGGAUCUGUGCAAGCGUGCGCUGGUUCCGCAGAAUUUCGCGGACAUGCACAUGCCGAUCGCCGUGCAGGGUUUCACCGAUUUCUAUUCGUCGAAGGAACACGCCACCAAUGUUGGCAUCAUGUUCCGCGGCAAGGACAACGCCCUGAUGCCGAACUGGCUGUCGAUGCCCAUCGGCUACAACGGCCGCG
rnacentral:misc_RNA from 1 species